AUGAUUGGAUUUCAGUCCAGACUUUCAAUGUACUAUCCAAAGUACUGAACUAGGUUUGGUGACAGGGAUCAGCACCCUGGAUACCAGCUUUAAAGUCCCUUCCCCACUGUCAUGGAAGACAUCAACUGCUGCAGUUGAAUAAGGUAGGGAGGUAGUUGUGUCUUCUCAAGGAUUUAUCUAGCUCUUCUGUUCUUGGGCUGAAGCUAUAACCAAGGUGGUUGUCCUAGCUCCUCUCUUCUCCUGAGUUUCUAGGAUCAUUCCCUAAGAGUAGUUCUGCUUAUAAACCUGGAAGUGGUAGAAAUGCAGAAAGGGAAGCUGAUUUUCACUGGUUCCCUUUUUCUUGACAACCCUCAAUAUACUUCACCUGAUGUUUUGGAGAGUCUUGAAAUCCUACUGAAGAAAUUUGGGUUGGACAAAAGGAAUUCCCAGACCCAAGGCAUAUGCAAACAGAAGUCUCCACAUGAUCAGCAUACUAGAUUGCAAAGUGUUUUUAUUAAUGUAGAAAUGAACCUCCUGAGAAGCCCCACUAUCUUAGUGCAAGAAAUUAAGGAUACUGGGGAUGUAUCUGUGUGUUCAUGUCUCCAUGUCCUUUGCCCAUUUUUGCUCUUAUGAGCAUGUGAAUAUCUAAAAAGGCCUUUUGUCAAUUGAGUUUUUCAAGAAUAUAGUAUCUCUUGGAUUGUCUUAUACAUUUUAACAUUCUGAUUUUUUUUCUUUUUCAAUCUUUUCACUUUCCUUCUUAGAAAAUCAGGGGAAAUACAGCAUACCUGAGCCAGAAUGAUUAGCUUGCUGUGGACUCAUUCUCGUCUCUCAUAUUUGGUCAUACAUAUAUGCUUCCAGACAGAAUCAGACAUAGGAAUUGGGUACAAUGACUUCUUCCUGUUUCUAGAAGACUUUUGAUUGGCAGUUUAUUGGGACAGACAUGAUGCCACUUCCCAUCUGGAGCAGUGUGAAGAGUAAUAGAAAAAUUUGACAUAGCAAUGUAGCUGAGAAGCCUUGAAGAACUGUCUCCCAACAUCCGAACAAUCCUGAACUUUCAAGUCAGCAUUGUAAUGUGCAGAUGCAGACUGCAGCCAGGAAAUCAGAAGACAUCUACUUCUUGGGAGGAGAGCAAUGGGCAACCUCGAUAAAAUAGUGAAAAGCAGAGACAUCUGCGGUGACGGCUGACAGGGAACUCUGGCGUAGACUGGUCCAUGAGGUCACGAAGAGUCGGAAAUGACUAUGUGAUUGAGCAGCAGCAGCAUAGAUAUGCUCAUACACAGAGGAAGGAUGAAGUAAUGUAAAUAUAAAACUUUGAAAUAAAGUUCUAAAACAGAUUAUCCAGAUAUGGUGCAAAAGAAGUGUUAAUAAAACGUGUUAUGCAAGCAA